rnacentral:pre_miRNA from 1 species
UGAUGAUCAUGAUGAUGAUGAUGACGAUGAUGAUGAUGAUGAUGAUGAAGAUGAUCAUGAUCAUGAUAUCAUCAUCAUCAUCGUCUUCAUCAUCACUUUUU